AGAGUUUGCUUCUGGCUCAGGAUGAACGCUGGCGGCAUGCCUAAUACAUGCAAGUCGAACGAAGUUUCGAGGAAGCUUGCUUCCAAAGAGACUUAGUGGCGAACGGGUGAGUAACACGUAGGUAACCUGCCCAUGUGUCCGGGAUAACUGCUGGAAACGGUAGCUAAAACCGGAUAGGUAUACAGAGCGCAUGCUCUGUAUAUUAAAGCGCCCAUCAAGGCGUGAACAUGGAUGGACCUGCGGCGCAUUAGCUAGUUGGUGAGGUAACGGCCCACCAAGGCGAUGAUGCGUAGCCGGCCUGAGAGGGUAAACGGCCACAUUGGGACUGAGACACGGCCCAAACUCCUACGGGAGGCAGCAGUAGGGAAUUUUCGUCAAUGGGGGAAACCCUGAACGAGCAAUGCCGCGUGAGUGAGGAAGGUCUUCGGAUCGUAAAGCUCUGUUGUAAGUGAAGAACGGCUCAUAGAGGAAAUGCUAUGGGAGUGACGGUAGCUUACCAGAAAGCCACGGCUAACUACGUGCCAGCAGCCGCGGUAAUACGUAGGUGGCAAGCGUUAUCCGGAAUCAUUGGGCGUAAAGGGUGCGUAGGUGGCGUACUAAGUCUGUAGUAAAAGGCAAUGGCUCAACCAUUGUAAGCUAUGGAAACUGGUAUGCUGGAGUGCAGAAGAGGGCGAUGGAAUUCCAUGUGUAGCGGUAAAAUGCGUAGAUAUAUGGAGGAACACCAGUGGCGAAGGCGGUCGCCUGGUCUGUAACUGACACUGAGGCACGAAAGCGUGGGGAGCAAAUAGGAUUAGAUACCCUAGUAGUCCACG
rnacentral:rRNA from 1 species